GGCUCUUCCCAUCCUGGUUCUGCAGCAGGAGCCAAGGGUGGGGCUGCUCGCCCAUUAAAGGGGAACGUGAGCUGGGUUUAGACCGUCGUGAGACAGGUCGGUCUCUGCCUGACAGGGGCGUAGUUGUUUGAGGGGAAGUUGCCCCUAGUACGAGAGGAACAGGGCAACGCAGCCUCUGGUGUAUCAGCUGUCCGACAGGGCACGUUGAGCAGCUAAGCUGUGUAGGAUAACUCCUGAAAGCAUCUAAGGAGGAAGCCUCUCCCGAGAAAAGACAACUUUCCGUAAGGAGGAGGGCGGCUAUAGAAGAUGGCGUUGAUGGAACGGAGGUGUACGCAUCGAGCUUCGGCGAGGUGUUCAGCCUGCCGUGACCAAUAGCCCAAGGCACCCGAAAA
rnacentral:rRNA from 1 species